rnacentral:lncRNA from 1 species
AUGUUCAUGAAGAGAGAAUCAGAAAAGUGGAGAAGUGUUAUGCUAGAUACAGGAGGGAAAGUUUUCCACUUAUUCUGGUGGUAUUCAGAAAAAAUGAAUAGAAAUAUCUGCAUCUGGAGAGCCAAAGAGGAAAAGAAAGUUUACAUUAUGAAAAAAGCUUGAAAGUGCAGCAAGGAUUUAGCAGUAAUGAAAGAACUUCACCAUCUCUCAUGAUGAAGUUCCAUAAAGUUUUGCCUCAUACUUUAAGAGGAGGAGGAAGUUUCUCUCUCAUGGUUUGACUUGAUCGAACUCCCUGAUGUGCAUCAUGUAAUGGAUGCAGUAAUAGUCACAUAUGCUUGAUUUACACAAAUCUGAACUGCAAUGCUGUCAGUAGCUGCGCUGAUGCCGUUGGGGCUACAGUCCUGCCAUAAAGUGAAGCAUGUAUAGGUAUUUUUGUAGCUGCAGCACUUCAGGGAGGUAUAUGAGGUGUACAGUUUCACUUACUUGAAAUUACCAAAUUGCUCG